UACGAAGGGGGCGAGCGUUGUUCGGAAUUACUGGGCGUAAAGGGCGCGCAGGCGGCCCUUGAAGUCAGGCGUGAAAGCCCCGGGCUCAACCUGGGAGGUGCGCUUGAUACUCGAGGGCUUGAGUGCGGGAGAGGAGAGUGGAAUUCCCAGUGUAGAGGUGAAAUUCGUAGAUAUUGGGAGGAACACCAAUGGCGAAGGCAGCUCGCUGGGACGUGACUGACGCUGAGACGCGAAAGCGUGGGGAGCAAACAGG
rnacentral:rRNA from 1 species